CUUCGAGCUUCUUACGUUGAUUGACUGCACAACAGUACCUGAGAGAGCGGUGUGCUGAAAACCCCUGCUCCAGUUGGUGAUGUGCUGCCAAGGGCUGUUGGCUGGGUUCAGCAUCCAGGAGAGCUUCCUCCCAUAAGAGCACAGCCAAGUGUAAUACAGCUCCCAGGCUAUGGGAAAGUAGCAUUCUGCACUCCAGCUAAUUCAACAGAAAUACGGUCACGUGCCAAUGCCUGAUCCACAUCAAACGUGUAAUCCUGGCAGAUCAGCAGUGCACAGCUCUGGCAUUAACAAUCGCAGAAGCAGGAUGUCGGGCCAGAAGCAUGGGAAGAUGUUUGAGAAAAGAA
ensembl:lncRNA